rnacentral:misc_RNA from 1 species
CCUCUUUCUUCUUAUUCAAACCUUUUUCAGGCUUCAAAUCCAAAUCUUCCUUCAAAGGGUUUUUACAAUCAGAGAAUGAAACAGAAGUACAAGUUGGCUCAUUCCUCUCAGUCAGGAUUUUCUUUCUUGGGGAUGCAUUUAUUUUUGAGGUUGCAGAGAUUGUUGGAGACAUGAAGUUCUUCGUACCCUUUGAAGAAGCUGGUGAUCGAACUCUGGCCUGCUGCAAAUUUUGAUCUUUACUGUUUUCUUUGUCCUCGGAAUCAUGCAAGGAGACUACUAUAUUUUCUCUGCCGAUGGAGCUUCUUCGCGGAUGAUCUGACGGACUAUUAGCGGGAGUGUUGGGGUUAAAGCCAGGCCUUUGACUCGUAACAAUAGAAGGUUUAGCAACUGGGCUUCUGCUAAAACUCCUUCUUAUGGGAUUGCUCACCUCUGAGUUUCUUGGGUUAGAUGGCCUACUAUGUAUUGAAGAGAAAGAAGAAUGCUUUUUGCUUGGAGAUGCAGCCAUGGAUAGUAUAUUUUCUGUGUUGGAGUAUGAAGAUAUUUGAAAAGUGAAUUCUUUGAAUUAGAAAGAAUUACAGAAUGAAUUCGCAGAAUCUGAGGGGAAUUGAUUAGAAGGAGAUCGGGAUAUGGGAGCUGUUUGUUUAGAGAGAGAACUGGAGAUAGCAACGGCUAGUUUCGGCAAUGAAUUGCGG